rfam:Picea glauca, whole genome shotgun sequence.
UCUUAUGUACAUGCCUACAACGUUAAUGCAUUGGAUCUCAUCAGAACUUCGCAAUUAAGCGUUCUUGGGAUAGAGUAGUAUUGGGAUGGGUGACCUCUUGGGAAGUCCUAGUGUUUUACAUGCC